CAAAAAGCGUUACAGCUUAACCUAACAUUCAAUAAAAUUUCACCUACAAUCACUAACCCCACCCCAUUACUGAAUGACUCUAUGAUAACAUAGAAAACAUAAUGCUAGAACUAGUAACAAGAAUGACUUCUCCAAAAUGUAAGUAUUUACCAAACUACUGGUAAUUAACGAAUAUGAGCCUACUACAGUAACCCUCAAGAAAACUCUGUAUAAACCCCCGUCAACCUAACACCAGAACAUUCCUGGAAAGAUUUAAAGAGAAAGAAGGAACUUGGCAAAUCUCGACCCCGCCUGUUUACCAAAAACAUCGCCUCUUGGCUCAUAAUAAGAGGUCUAGCCUGCCCACUGAUAAAAUUCAACGGCCACGGUACCCUAACCGUGCAAAGGUAGCAUAAUCACUUGUUCUUUAAAUAAGGACUAGUAUCAACGGCAUCACGAGGGUCGCACCGUCUCCUUUCUCCAAUCAGUGAAACUGAUCUCCCCGUGAAGAAGCGUGGAUAAAACUAUAAGACGAGAAGACCCCAUGGAGCUUUAGACUUCCAGCAACUAAACUUUACACCCCUCAACAACCACAAAACUAUGCUUAACAGUCUUAGGCUGGGGCGGCCACGGAGUAAAAAACAACCUCCACGACGAAAAGAGCUAAAUCCUUAUCUAUGAGUCACUACUCUAAGAAUUAGAACACUAACGUACAAUGACCCGAUAAACGACCAACGAACCUAGUUACCCUGGGGAUAACAGCGCAAUCUACUUCAAGAGCUCAUAUCGACAAGUAGGCUUACGACCUCGAUGUUGGAUCAGGGUAUCCUAGUGGUGCAGCCGCUGCUAAUGGUUCGUUUGUUCAACGAUCAAAACCCU
rnacentral:rRNA from 1 species